rnacentral:rRNA from 1 species
AGUGAACGCUGGCGGUAGGCCUAACACAUGCAAGUCGAACGGCAGCACAGUAAGAUCUUGCUCUUACGGGUGGCGAGUGGCGGACGAGUGAGGAAUACAUCGGAAUCUACUUUUUCGUGGGGGAUUACGUAGGGAAACUUACGCUAAUGCCGCAUACGUCCUACGGGUGAAAGCAGGGGAUCUUCGGACCUUGCGCGAUUGAAUGAGCCGAUGUCGGAUUAGCUAGUUGGCGGGGUAAAGGCCCACCAAGGCGACGAUCCGUAGCUGGUCUGAGAGGAUGAUCAGCCACACUGGAACUGAGACACGGUCCAGACUCCUACGGGAGGCAGCAGUGGGGAAUAUUGGACAAUGGGCGCAAGCCUGAUCCAGCCAUACCGCGUGGGUGAAGAAGGCCUUCGGGUUGUAAAGCCCUUUUGUUGGGAAAGAAAAGCAGCAGGUUAAUACCCCGCUGUUCUGACGGUACCCAAAGAAUAAGCACCGGCUAACUUCGUG